GACAGCAGGGCAGUGGGAUAGUAGGACCGUGUGACAGCAGGACAGUGGGAUGGCAGGACAGAAGGGCAGUAGGACAGAAGGACAGUGGGACAGCAGAGCAGUGGGACGGCAGGAUGGCAGGACAGUGGGACAGCAGGAUGGCAGGACAGUAGGACAGCAGAGCAGUGAGUGGACAGAGGGGUGGUAGGACAGCAGGAUGGUAGGACAGCAGGACAGCAUGGCCGUGGGACAGUGGGAUGGCAGGGCAGUGGGAUGGCAGGGCAGUAGGACAGCAGGGCAGUGGGAUAGCAGGAUGGCAGGGCAGCGAGAUGGCGGAACAGUAGGACAGCAGGGCAGAAGGGCGGUGGGACAGAGGGAUGGCAGGACAGCAGGACAGCAGCCCUCAGCCCCACAGCCUCAGGCAUCCCUCAGGCACGUGGCUCCUCCGCACAGCAGCAGCAUCUCAGCAGAGGAUCCAGUGAUGCUCGGAGACAGCGCCGGAGCCUCUCCACGUAUUCAUCAAAGCUUGUGCAUCUCCCACUCCAAUGCAGGCGAAACAAUAACAAACACACAGUGCAGAAAGUUAAUAUGUAGCCAGACGAGCGUUUUAAUAACUGGAAAGGUUAAAAAAAAGCCCUCUCAGGCUCCGUGUGGGCUCCUGCCAGCUCGUGUUCCUGAGAGUCUGGGAGACCCAGAGUACCAUGACUGUAUUGAUUCAAUUAUUCUCUACAAUGUAAUACUCUGCAUUUGUGUGAUAGCAACAAACAGAGUUGAAAGACAUACAAAAAUAAAUGAUCUGAAAG
rnacentral:lncRNA from 7 species